rnacentral:rRNA from 1 species
AACGAACGCUGGCGGCAUGCCUAACACAUGCAAGUCGAACGAGACCUUCGGGUCUAGUGGCGCACGGGUGCGUAACGCGUGGGAACCUGCCCUUAGGUUCGGAAUAACUCCCCGAAAGGGGUGCUAAUACCGGAUAAUGUCUUCGGACCAAAGAUUUAUCGCCUUUGGAUGGGCCCGCGUUGGAUUAGCUAGUUGGUAGGGUAAAAGCCUACCAAGGCGACGAUCCAUAGCUGGUCUGAGAGGAUGAUCAGCCACACUGGGACUGCGACACGGCCCAGAAUCCUACGGGAGGCAGCAGUGGGGAAUAUUGGAGGAUGGGCGAAAGCCUGAUACAGCAAUGCGGCGUGAGUGAUGAAGGCCUUAGGGUUGUAAAGCUCUUUUAGCCGGGAUGAUAAUGACAGUAACGGGAGAAUAAGCUCCGGCUAACUACGUG